rnacentral:rRNA from 1 species
UACGUAGGGGGCAAGCGUUGUCCGGAAUUACUGGGCGUAAAGGGCACGCAGGCGGUCCGGUCAGUCAGGAGUGAAAGUUUGCAGCUUAACUGUAAAAGUGCUUUUGAUACUGCCGGACUUGAGUCUCGGAGAGGUAAGCGGAAUUCCUAGUGUAGUAGUGAAAUGCGUAGAGAUUAGGAAGAACACCGGCGGCGAAGGCGGCUUACUGGACGAGUACUGACGCUCAGGUGCGAAAGCGUGGGGAGCAAAC